UACGUAGGGGGCAAGCGUUGUCCGGAUUUAUUGGGCGUAAAGAGCGUGUAGGCGGUUUGGUAGGUCCGCUGUGAAAACUCGAGGCUCGACCUCGAGACGCCGGUGGAAACCAUCAGACUAGAGUCCGGAAGAGGAGAGUGGAAUUCCAGGUGUAGCGGUGAAAUGCGUAGAUAUCUGGAGGAACACCGGUGGCGAAGGCGGCAUCCUGGACCGAUACUGACGCUGAGGAGCGAAAGCCAGGGGAGCAAACGGG
rnacentral:rRNA from 1 species